GGUAGGACUACCCGCUGAACUUAAGCAUAUCAAUAAGCGGAGGAAAAGAAACUAACAAGGAUUCCCCUAGUAACUGCGAGUGAAGCGGGAAAAGCUCAAAUUUAAAAUCUGGCGGUCUUUGGCCGUCCG
rnacentral:rRNA from 1 species